UACGUAGGGUGCGAGCGUUAAUCGGAAUUACUGGGCGUAAAGCGUGCGCAGGCGGUCUGUUAAGACCGAUGUGAAAUCCCCGGGCUUAACCUGGGAACUGCAUUGGUGACUGGCAGGCUUUGAGUGUGGCAGAGGGAGGUAGAAUCCACGUGUAAGCAGUGAAAUGCGUAGAGAUGUGGAGGAAUACCGAUGGCGAAGGCCAGCCUCCUGGGCCAACACUGACGCUCAUGCACGAA
rnacentral:rRNA from 1 species